rnacentral:lncRNA from 1 species
GGGGUUGCAGCUUUUCCGCAAAUAUCUUUUCCGAUCUCCAACAGUUGAGUCUGAUAUCGUUACUGGUCUUUUAAGGAUGGUCGAUAAGGAAAGGUAAACUGUAUUCUAUCUUGUUUAUUUUAGUAUUAAUUAUUCAACUUAUUUGAUUUCUUCCCCCAUCUCAAUUUGCUCAUUUGAUUAGUACGAUAAUCUUGUUUAUUAUCAC